GUAUAACCAGUGAAAGAGCAGAGUAGGUAGGAGUACACAUGAAAAAGAGAAGAGAUGCCGUGGCUGAAAGCAUUUCUACAUGAUGACUUACUGAAAGAACACUCUGGAGGUUUCUCUCUGAACCGAUGAAUCAUCGCAGUAGGAGCUGAACGUGAUCGUACGUUAACGAUUUGAGUGGAAGCUAGACAAUAGUAGCUUCAAUUAGGGUGGCACCACGAGAUUUCAAGCUCUCGUCCCUACU
rnacentral:ncRNA from 1 species